rnacentral:tRNA from 1 species
CGGGAUAUGGCUCAGUUGGUAGAGUGUUUGCCAGGCAUGCACAAAGCCCUGGGUUCAAUCCCCAGCAUCACAA